UACAGAGGGGGCCAGCGUUAUUCGGAAUUAUUGGGCGUAAAGGGCGCGUAGGCGGUUCGCUAAGUUGGAUGUGAAAACUCUGGGCUCAACCCAGAGCCUGCAUCCAAAACUGGCGGGCUAGAGUUCUGGAGGGGGUAGCGGAAUUCCUGGUGUAGCGGUGAAAUGCGUAGAUAUCAGGAGGAACACCGGUGGCGAAGGCGGCUACCUGGACAGAAACUGACGCUGAGGCGCGAAAGCUAGGGGAGCAAACAGG
rnacentral:rRNA from 1 species